UACGGGAGGGACUAGUGUUACUCGUCAUAAUUGGCGUAAAGGGUCUGUAGGCGGUUUUUUAAGUUGAUGGGGAAAGAACAAAGCAAAGUUUGUCGACACCAUCAAUACUAUUAAACUUAGAGUAUCAUUGGGGAUAGUGAACUUUCAAUGUAGCGAUAAAAUGCUUAGAAGUUGGAGGGAACACCAGAGGCGAAGGCGGCUAUCUAGGUGAUUACUGACGCUGAGGACGAAGGCAUGGGGAUCAAACAGG
rnacentral:misc_RNA from 1 species